UCAGAGCUCUGGUCAUGACAGCAUUUUUGUGCAUCAGCUGGUAUCCCAGAUCUCCUUCCACACAGGAGUCAACAGUGGACCAGGAGACGGAGGGAGCGUACAGCUGGAGACACUGAGGCGACAACACAGAGGUAGUAACAGCGUACAAUCAGAUACAAAAGAGCCAGUACAUGACAAGCAAGAGUUGUCAUUUUAUUUCCUUCAGGCUCUCCGUGCUGACAACUGAAGGGUGAAUUUGCUGAUGGAAAUUCCUACAAGAGAUGGAGGCGUGUGCAGGAUCUGCUAUGCAUAAACAGAGGCCAGAAUAUCCCACCUGAGCGUUCCCAUAAGGCACCAGAGUGACGGCCAUGAUGUCCUGCAGCAUCAUCCAGGUGGGGAACAGCUGCUGGGUAAUGAACAGUCUGCAGUCUGGACAC